rnacentral:rRNA from 1 species
GCGGAGGAAAAGAAACUAACAAGGAUUCCCCUAGUAACGGCGAGUGAAGAGGGAAGAGCCCAAGAUUGAAAGCUGGCGCCUUCGGCGUCCGCAUUGUAAUCUCAAGAAGUGUUUUCCGCUUCGGACCAUGCCUAAGUCCCUUGGAAAAGGGCAUCAUAGAGGGUGAUAAUCCCGUACAUGGCAUGGAGCGCCCGAGGCUUUGUGAUACGCUUUCUAAGAGUCGAGUUGUUUGGGAAUGCAGCUCAAAAUGGGUGGUAAAUGCCAUCUAAGGCUAAAUAUUGGGGAGAGACCGAUAGCGAACAAGUACAGUGAUGGAAAGAUGAAAAGAACUUUGAAAAGAGAGUUAAACAGUACGUGAAAUUGCCAAAAGGGAAGGGUAGGAGGUCAGAGAUGCGUCUUGGGAUUCAGCCUUGCUUUUGCUUGGUGUUUUUCCCAAGUUGCAGGCCAACGUCGGUUUUGGGCACUGGAGAAGGGUGGAAGGAACGUGGCACCUCUCGGGGUGUGUUAUAGCCUUCUACUGGAUACAGCGACCGAGACCGAGGACAGCAGCGUACUCGCAAGAGCGGGCCUUCGGGCACCUUUACGCUUAGGGCGUUGGCAUAAUGGCCCUCUACCACCCGUCUUGAAACACGGACCAAGGAGUCU